GCAGGGUAGGGGUCCAGCAUGAAGCCCCCGGACCGCCCCACCCCUGGCCGCACUGACCGGAUACUGGGGGUCAUGGGGGGCAUGCUGCGCGCAUGCGCCGUACCCGGGCAGGAGGGGCCCCAGGAGAGAGAUCCCUUAGGGCCUGGGAGUACCAAGACAGAGAGUGAAUGUACCGAGGAGGAUCAGACAGGGGAGCGCGAACGUGAGGUCCUCGCCUGGGCUCCGCAGCCCGCUCGAUGUGUGUCCUCACUUCGGCGGGUCCCAAGCCCCCGAAGGCGGAGUGGAGUGUCCCUGCGCCCCACCCCUGGCCCUGGGCCAGCCCAGGCGCCCGGACUUCGCCUUAAUUGAAUCCUAUUCUAUUGCUGGCAGUGAGGGGAGCAUGUCAGCGUCUGCUGUCUCAGGGCUGGCUGCCCUGUCUGGCCCCAGCUCUGGCCUCAGCUCUCAUCCAUGUUCUCCGGUCCCCCCUGGACCAGUAACUGGCCUGAGGAGAUGGUUGGAUCAUUCCAAACAUUGCCUCAGUGUGGAAACCGAGGCAGACAGUGGUCAGACAAGGCAAUGUGAGAACUGGAUGCUGGAGCCAACUCUAACCACAGGACAGGAGUUGCCAGAACUGACGUUAUUGACUACACUGCUGGAGGGUCCUGGAGUCAAGGCCCAG
rnacentral:lncRNA from 1 species